GACGAACGCUGGCGGCGUGCCUAAUACAUGCAAGUUGAGCGCUGAAGGUUGGUACUUGUACCAACUGGAUGAGCAGCGAACGGGUGAGUAACGCGUGGAGAAUCUGCCUUUGAGCGGGGGACAACAUUUGGAAACGAAUGCUAAUACCGCAUAAAAACUUUAAACACAAGUUUUAAGUUUGAAAGAUGCAAUUGCAUCACUCAAAGAUGAUCCCGCGUUGUAUUAGCUAGUUGGUGAGGUAAAGGCUCACCAAGGCGGUGCUACAUAGCCGACCUGAGUGGGUGGUCGGCCACAUUGGGACUGUGACACGGCCCAAACUCCUACGGGAGGCAGCCAGAGGGCAUCUUCGGCAAUGGACGGAAGUCUGACCGAGCAACGCGGAGGGAGUGAAGAGGGUUGUCGGGUCGUAAAACUCUGUCGGUGGGGAAGAACGUUGGUGAGAGUGGAAAGCUCAUCAAGUGACGGUAACUACCCAGAAAGGGACGGCUAACUACGUG
rnacentral:rRNA from 1 species